CAACCAAAAAUCAUGAUUUUGCUCUGUCAGCAGUGGAAAAGUCGAGAUUUUUUUCAACAUUUACUAGAGAGAAAUCCCCAAUCCCUGGUUUGAAGAACAAGGAAAUGACUUUAACAAAACCCUUGAGUUCAAGUAUUGAUACCCAGUUAACUCAUCAAAAACCUAGAUGCUUUUCAAGCUCAGAUUCACCUUCUGAUCCUGAGAAAUCCCAUAAUGCAAACAAAAUACCCAAAUUCAAGCAUCAAGAAAGAGAGGAGCCUAUCGCGGGAAGAGACCCUAAUGAGAACAGAGAAGUUGGUGCAAUGCUAAUGAAGAAAUUGCAUGGUUUGAUGAAAAUUGGGGGUCUUCUGGGACUGGUUAGCUUUGGGCUUGCGGCUUCCAUUUAUUAUAUCACCAAAGGAACUAUACCAAUAAAAGAAGUGUUUGACAGUUGCGGGUUGAUUAUUACAGGCACUAUUUGGCUGAUGCAACUUUGCAAAUCAGCAGAGAAGCGUGGUACGCCCGACUUUUUUAUGGUGGUGCAUUGGCAGCUAAAGGCUCUGAUUUUGCUUCUACAGCUUACAUAUCUGCUGUGGGGUUUUCUUCUAGUUGUUAUACUUGGACGUCUUAUGGUGCUGCCAUUGGGAAUGGAUGCUUUAGAGUAACUUUCUGUUUGUAUUAGUAACUUCUCUUUUGUAUUGACCAACUUGUUGAUUACUGUUGUCUAUCAUUGAUAAUUGACUGGAUAUAGAAGUUCAACGGUGUUGGAGACUAAUUCUUUGUUUGCAUCCUUAUUUGUGCAGGGGAAAUGAGGAGGAAGGAAAAGUAAAAAAAAUUCAAUCUUCAUGAUGGAUAAAUUUAUUAGGAUAGGUGAGAAAUCCACCUUUUUUUAUUUUUUAUUUUUUAU
rnacentral:misc_RNA from 1 species